rnacentral:rRNA from 1 species
GAUGAACGCUGGCGGCGUGCCUAAUACAUGCAAGUCGAGCGAACGGACGAGAAGCUUUCUUCUCUGAUGUUAGCGGCGGACGGGUGAGUAACACGUGGAUAACCUACCUAUAAGACUGGGAUAACUUCGUGAAACCGGAGCUAAUACCGGAUGAUAUUUUGAACCGCAUGGUUCAAAAGUGAAAGACGGUCUUGCUGUCACUUAUAGAUGGAUCCGCGCUGCAUUAGCUAGUUGGUAAGGUAACGGCUUACCAAGGCAACGAUGCAUAGCCGACCUGAGAGGGUGAUCGGCCACACUGGAACUGAGACACGGUCCAGACUCCUACGGGAGGCAGCAGUAGGGAAUCUUCCGCAAUGGGCGAAAGCCUGACGGAGCAACGCCGCGUGAGUGAUGAAGGUCUUCGGAUCGUAAAACUCUGUUAUUAGGGAAGAACAUAUGUGUAAGUAACUGUGCACAUCUUGACGGUACCUAAUCAGAAAGCCACGGCUAACUACGU